AAUAAUAAGCUGAUUGAUUAGAAGAAAAUUUUUUUGGGCGUGCUUUGGUCGAAGAUAUUUUCCAGAGAUAUCGGCAUAUGAUGGAUUUUGGGGGCAAGAUCGGUAAGGCGAGAGGUAAAAAUCGAUCAUUCCCUUGGGCAUUGAUACCCGAUCACCGUUUGAUUUUAUUCAUAAUUUGCAAGUUCAUCCCUUUCGUUCCAUGGAUCUGAAAUUUGAAAUACUGAUGAGAUUUAGAUUUGAGAUAUUAAGGGUUUCUGAUCUAAUUUGAAAUAAUUAAGGAUUCUUGAUAUGUCUAUCUAGCUAUUUCAAGAAUAAUCUGAUUUGUUGUUUUGUAAACCACGCAUAAAAUCUAGUGAUCAAGUUUUUUGUAGUGAUUAAAAAUAACACCAGUUGAAAUGGUCACUGAAACUAAGUUGAAAUAUAGGAUUAAUGUUAUUAUUAGAAUUUAGAACACUGUGAAUUGUAGUUUGGUUAAAUCGUAGUUUUUUGUAGUUAUUGAAAAUAACACUAGUUGAAAUGAUCACUGAAACUAAGUUGAAAUACAGGAUUAAUGUUAUUAUUAGAACACUGUGGACUGUAGUUUGGUUAAUUCGUAGUUGUACUAGAGUUUCUAUUCAACUAUGUGUAUGGUAGUAUGACUAUGGUGUCUGGGAAUCCUGGAUCCACCAAUGGUAUGAUGUAUACCAACCAGUCGAUCUGAUUGGACUUUAAUAGCUACAAUUCUUACAAUCUUUAACUAAAUACUAGUUGAUGGUUGUUAUUUGUCUGUCUUAAAAAUUCCGCCACAAGCUUUGAAAAUGCAGUGGUUUUAUCUUCAAGAAGCUUUCUAGGGGAGUCGUAUUCCAAAACUUUUCCUGCAUCAAAAAUGAUUUUGUUCAGCUCAUGAAUAAAGAGAAACUAUUUGAUUCAGAGUGGUUCGACAUGAAAUGAUAUAUAUACCUUCAUCAAGAACAAGAACUAGGUCAUUGUCAAUUAUAGUGGCGAUUCGAUGAGCCACUGAGAUGACAGUGCAAUUUCCAGUUUCUUCUCGUAUUGUCUUUUGAAUCACAUUAUCUGUUGCAGUAUCCACUGAAGCUGUGGCCUCAUCUAACACGAGAAUUCGUCUCUUCUUUAGCAAAGCCCUUGCAAGACAAACCAACUGUCUUUGACCCACACUCCAAUUCUCCCCAUUUUCCGCAACUGCAUGGUAAGUCCCUUAUUCAUGUUAGCAUAUUUAAAUCAAUCAUAUUUAUGUUAAUUGUAGUUGAUGAAUUGAGUUCUUGUCAUCCUUUUUAUACCGGGUGCAUCAAGAAGUCUGUCAUCUUUUUUGACUAUUUCCCCAAGAUAGCACCUCUUCAAAGCCUAAAUAUGGCAAAAAUACGUUUCAGAAAAUAGGAGGAAGAAACUAAGAAAGAUGGAAAGAAUUUUUUUUGCAC
rnacentral:lncRNA from 1 species